GAGAGCAGUAUACGGGAAAUCCGUACGUACUGUUCGAUGAGGGGGACGGAGGUCGAAAGACCUCCUCAUACUCUAC
rfam:Desulfuromonadales bacterium C00003096 3datasets_contig_104552, whole genome shotgun sequence.